rnacentral:rRNA from 1 species
UUGGAGGGCAGUCUGGUGCCAGCAGCCGCGGUAAUUCCAGCUCCAAUAGCGUAUAUUAAAGUUGUUGCAGUUAAAAAGCUCGUAGUUGAAUUUCGGGGUCAGUAGGUCGGUCGUGCCACUGGUAUGAACUGGUUUUAUUGAUUCCUCCCUCUUGAAGAACUGUAAUGCCAUUAAUUUGGUGUUGCAGGGAAUCAGGACUGUUACUUUGAAAAAAUUAGAGUGUUUAAAGCAGGCUUUAGCUUGAAUACAUUAGCAUGGAAUAAUGAAAUAGGACGUUUGAUCCUAUUUUGUUGGUUUCUAGGAUUGACGUAAUGAUUAAUAGGGAUAGUUGGGGGCAUUAGUAUUCAAUUGUCAGAGGUGAAAUUCUUGGAUUUAUUGAAGACUAACUACUGCGAAAGCAUUUGCCAAGGAUGUUUUCAUUAAUCAAGAACGAAAGUUAGGGGAUCGAAGACGAUCAGAUACCGUCGUAGUCUUAACCAUAAACUAUGCCGACUAGGGAUCGGAUGAUGUUAAUUUUUUAAUGACUCAUUCGGCGCCUUACGGGAAAC